GGCCUGUCUCAGUUGGGUUCUCAACAAUCUGUGGAUGGAGUAACCACUUUGGCUUCAAAGGAAUAUGCAAUAUCACAAUCUGCCUUGACUGUUCUUCGCUGGAAAAGAGAGAAACUGCAUUAUCAGCUACGCAUUUUGGAAGACGAGAUUGCUUUGUGUAAUAAAACUAUUCAGGCAGAAUUAAACGGGGGUGAAAAUGAAGCUCUUAAAGAUGUCUGUAAUGACAUGUGUAAAGAAGAUGAAGACAGUGCCAAUCAACUGGUAGAAGACUCAUGUACUAUUCAAUAUAGCAAGGGAAAAAGAUUGUCCGAGGCUAUUCUUACUUUGCAAAACCAAUGUCAGCAACUGGAUCAAUUCUGCUGCAGGAAUAAUUGGG
rnacentral:misc_RNA from 1 species